rnacentral:rRNA from 1 species
UACGUAGGAGGCGAGCGUUGUCCGGAGUUACUGGGCGUAAAGCGUGCGCAGGCGGUCUGUUAAGACCGAUGUGAAAUCCCCGGGCUUAACCUGGGAACUGCAUUGGUGACUGGGCAGGCUUUGAGUGUGGCAGAGGGAGGUAGGAAUUCCACGUGUAGCAGUGAAAUGCGUAGAGAUGUGGAGGAAUACCGAUGGCGAAGGCAGCCUCCUGGGCCAACACUGACGCUCAUGCACGAAAGCGUGGGGAGCAAACAGG